rnacentral:rRNA from 1 species
AGUGAACGCUGGCGGUAGGCCUAACACAUGCAAGUCGAACGGCAGCACAGGAGAGCUUGCUCUCUGGGUGGCGAGUGGCGGACGGGUGAGGAAUACAUCGGAAUCUACUUUUUCGUGGGGGAUAACGUAGGGAAACUUACGCUAAUACCGCAUACGACCUACGGGUGAAAGCAGGGGACCUUCGGGCCUUGCGCGAUUGAAUGAGCCGAUGUCGGAUUAGCUAGUUGGCGGGGUAAAGGCCCACCAAGGCGACGAUCCGUAGCUGGUCUGAAAGGAUGAUCAGCCACACUGGAACUGAGAAACGGUCCAGACUCCUACGGGAGGCAGCAGUGGGGAAUAUUGGACAAUGGGCGCAAGCCUGAUCCAGCCAUACCGCGUGGGUGAAGAAGGCCUUCGGGUUGUAAGGCCCUUUUGUUGGGAAAGAAAUCCAGCUGGCUAAUACCCGGUUGGGAUGACGGUACCCAAAGAAUAAGCACCGGCUAACUUCGUGCCAGCAGCCGCCGUAA